AACGAACGCUGGCGGCAGGCUUAACACAUGCAAGUCGAACGCCCCGCAAGGGGAGUGGCAGACGGGUGAGUAACGCGUGGGAACAUACCCUUUCCUGCGGAAUAGCUCUGGGAAACUGGAAUUAAUACCGCAUACGCCCUACGGGGGAAAGAUUUAUCGGGGAAGGAUUGGCCCGCGUUGGAUUAGCUAGUUGGUGGGGUAAAGGCCUACCAAGGCGACGAUCCAUAGCUGGUCUGAGAGGAUGAUCAGCCACAUUGGGACUGAGACACGGCCCAAACUCCUACGGGAGGCAGCAGUGGGGAAUAUUGGACAAUGGGCGCAAGCCUGAUCCAGCCAUGCCGUGUGAGUGAUGAAGGCCUUAGGGUUGUAAAGCUCUUUCACCGAUGAAGAUAAUGACGGUAGUCGGAGAAGAAGCCCCGGCUAACUUCGUGCCAGCAGCCGCCGUAAAAC
rnacentral:rRNA from 1 species